rnacentral:rRNA from 1 species
CCUACGGGUGGCUGCAGUCGGGAAUAUUGCGCAAUGGAGGAAACUCUGACGCAGUGACGCCGCGUGCAGGAAGAAGGUUUUCGGAUUGUAAACUGCUUUAGACAGGGAAGAAAAAAGACAGUACCUGUAGAAUAAGCUCCAGCUAACUACGUGCCAGCAGCCGCGGUAAUACGUAGGGAGCAAGCGUUAUCCGGAUUUAUUGGGUGUAAAGGGUGCGUAGACGGGAAAACAAGUUAGUUGUGAAAUCCCUCAGCUUAACUGAGGAACUGCAACUAAAACUAUUUUUCUUGAGUGCUGGAGAGGAAAGUGGAAUUCCUAGUGUAGCGGUGAAAUGCGUAGAUAUUAGGAGGAACACCAGUGGCGAAGGCGGCUUACUGGACUGUAACUGACGUUGAGGCUCGAAAGCGUGGGGAGCAAACAGGAUUAGAUACCCGUGUAGUC